GUGCUCGCUUCGGCAACACAUAUACUGAAGUUGGAAUGAUAGAGACGAUGAGCAUGACCCCUGCACAAGGAUGGCAGGAAAAUGUCAGUGUCUAUGAUGUGUACU